UGGGGAAUUUUGGACAAUGGGGGCAACCCUGAUCCAGCCAUGCCGCGUGAGUGAAGAAGGCCUUCGGGUUGUAAAGCUCUUUCGGCCGGGAAGAAAUCGCACAGGCUAAUACCCUGUGUGGGUGACGGUACCGGAAUAAGAAGCACCGGCUAACUACGUGCCAGCAGCCGCGGUAAUACGUAGGGUGCGAGCGUUAAUCGGAAUUACUGGGCGUAAAGCGUGCGCAGGCGGUUUAGUAAGACAGGCGUGAAAUCCCCGGGCUCAACCUGGGAACUGCGCUUGUGACUGCUAAGCUAGAGUACGGCAGAGGGGGUGGAAUUCCGACGUGUAGCAGUGAAAUGCGUAGAGAUGUGGAGGAACACCGAUGGCGAAGGCAGCCCCCUGGGCCGAUACUGACGC
rnacentral:rRNA from 1 species